rnacentral:rRNA from 1 species
AGCAGGCGCGUAAAUUGCCCGAAUCCUGACACAGGGAGGUAGUGACAAGAAAUAACGAUACAGGGUUACAUCUAGUCUUGUAAUUGGAAUGAGUACAAUUUACAUCUCUUAACGAUGAUCAAUUGGAGGGCAAGUCUGGUGCCAGCAGCCGCGGUAAUUCCAGCUCCAAUAGCGUAUAUUAAAGUUGUUGCAGUUAGAACGCUCGUAGUCGGAUUUCGGGGCGUUCCGACCGGUCUGCCGAUGGGUAUGCACUGGCCGGAGUGUCCUUUUUGCCGGAGACCGUGCCUACUCUUAACUGAGCGGGGGCGGGAGACGGCACUUUUACUUUGAAAAAAUCAGAGUGUUUCAAGCAGGCAGCUCGCUCUUGCAUGGAUUAGCAUGGGAUAAUGAAAUAGGACUUUGGUGCUAUUUUGUUGGUUUCGAACACCGAAGUAAUGAUGAGAAGGGACAGUCAGGGGCACUCGUAUUCCGCAGAGAGAGGUGAAAUUCUCAGACCCGCGGAAGACGAACCACUGCGAAAGCAUUUGCCAGGGAUGUUUUCACUGAUCAAGAACGAAAGUUAGGGGAUCGAAGAUGAUCAGAUACCGUCGUAGUCUUAACCAUAAACCAUGCCGACUAGGGAUUGGGGGAUGUUCACUGAUUGACUCCUUCAGCACCUUACGGGAAACUAAAGUCUUUGGGUUCCGGGGGGAGUAUGGUCGCAAGGCUGAAACUUAAAGGAAUUGACGGAAGGGCACCACCAGGUGUGGAGCCUGCGGCUUAAUUUGACUCAACACGGCGAAACUUACCAGGUCCAGACAUUGUGAGGAUUGACAGAUUGAGAGCUCUUUCAUGAUUUAAUGGGUGGUGGUGCAUGGCCGUUCUUAGUUGGUGGAGUGAUUUGUCUGGUUAAUUCCGUUAACGAACGGGACCUUAGCCUGCUAAAUAGUGACGCGAACUCUUUGUUGGCGGUCCACUACUUAGAGGGACAACUUGUCUUCAACAAGUGGAAGUUUGAGGCAAUAACAGGUCUGUGAUGCCCUUAGAUGUUCUGGGCCGCACGCGCGCUACACUGAUGCACUCAACGAGUCUCCACCUUGACCGAGAGGUCCGGGAAACCUUCGAACUUGCAUCGUGAUGGGGAUAGAUUAUUGCAACUAUUAAUCUUCAACGAGGAAUACCUAGUAGGCGCAUGUCAUCAGCGUGCGUUGA